rnacentral:tmRNA from 1 species
GGGGCCGACCUGGUUUCGACGUGGGUCAGGAAGUGGGUCAGGGCAUGCCGAGGACUCGUUACCUCGUAAAUCCAGCGGGAAAUUAAUAAACGCCAACGACGAGCGUUUCGCUCUCGCCGCCUAAUCCCGGUGAGCGCCACACCAACUUGCUGAUGGGUUGGGUCAGAUUCGGGUAACUGGGUCUGGCAGUGGUGUAACUUAAGUCAGAUCGCGCGUGCGCCGGGUUACUUGGACGCACCG